AUCAUGUCGAACCAAGCUAAUAGCUUUCUUUGACAGGGUAACAAGCCUUGUGGAUGGGGGGAAGGAGAGCAGUAGAUGAGGUACAUCUUGACUUUUGUAAGGCUUUUGAUACUGUCUCGCAUGACCUUCUCGUAAACAAGCUAGGGAAAUACAACCAAGCCCUGGGCU